CUUUUGACAGCCGUGAGCUUCCCCGCCAGGAACUUACUGGGGCUGCAUCACCCUAGAAACGUGGCUUUGGGCUGUGGAAACGCUGCCUCUGUGGAAGUCUCUCCUCGCGGGGGUGGACGGGUCGCUGCGCGCCCAGCGUUCUUCUGCGGUUCUCACAGCCCGCCGCCGCCGCCGCCUCGGGGACCUUUGCGGGGAGGCCUCAGGCUGGAGUAUAGUGGCAUGAUCAUAGAUCACUGCAGCCUCAAACUCCUGGGCUCAAGCGAUCCUCCCACCUCAGCCUCCAUAUAGCUGGUGGGGACCAAGUUUCUAACACAUGAAUGUUGGGAGACACAUUCAGACCAUCGCAGUGGCCUUAUAAAAAGAGACACAAGAGCUUGCUCUCUGCCAUGUGAGAAUACCACAAGAAGACUGUCCUCAGCAAAUCAGAAAGCGGGUGGACCCUCAUCAGACACCAGAUGUGCCUGCACCUUGAUCUUGGACUUGCCAGCCUUCAGAACAGUAAGAAAGAAAUGUGUGUUGUUUAAGCCACCCAGUCUAUGGUAACUUGCUAUAGCAGCCCACUAGGAGACCCCAAGAUAUUUAAAAACUCAUCAGCACCUGCUUUCUGCAUCUGGACCCUGAUCUUCUGGUGGGUUUACCAGUUACUUGUAGAGUGUCCCUGUGAUAGUUUU
rnacentral:lncRNA from 1 species